AAACUUUCAACAACGGAUCUCUUGGCUCUGGCAUCGAUGAAGAACGCAGCGAAAUGCGAUACGUAGUGUGAAUUGCAGAAUUUAGUGAAUCAUCGAAUCUUUGAACGCACAUUGCGCCCGCCAGUAUUCUGGCGGGCAUGCCUGUUCGAGCGUCAUUU
rnacentral:rRNA from 2 species